CACGAAACCGGCCUCACUUACCCAGAAAAUGACAUUGAAGCCGAAGAUGAAAUAUUUGAUGCAACAACUGACUUCAGGCCCCUUGUAGUGCUUUCCGGACAUCCUCUGCGCUCAUGAAGACGCUUUGCUCGCAGCCAGGAUGCAGAUAUAAAUGGACUUCUUCUGACUAAGACUGGCCAACUCUAAUAUUAAGAAGUGUGUCAAGUUUGAGAAGUUCAUGUCUUAAAAGAGGGAAAAAGAAACGCAAGCAGGAGUGACUCGAGAAGAAAAACAGCAGAGCAGCACAGUGAAGGCUGUAGUUCCGACACUUAAAACAGGUGGACCAAUCUGAACUUUGAGGUGUUUCCAUCCAUUAUCUAGGAAGAAUCUGUCAAGGAUUAUUUGCACAACAUCAGGUUUCUAGCAGUGAAGCUUGGAAUUGGCCAGGAACAUCAGACCAAGCGAGGUCACAGCUCCAUGCAACAUGCUAACUGUGAAAGUGGUAUUUAAAAUGUUCAGCCUGCCACCUGUAGAGCAAGAAAUCCUGAUACUCAAAACUAAUGGUUUCUUAUGCUUGAGACAGAUUCACUUGGCUAUGUUGAAUUAAAAAAAUAAAAUCUUUCUGCACACUGAA